rnacentral:rRNA from 1 species
GACAGAGGGUGCAAACGUUGUUCGGAAUUACUGGGCGUAAAGCGUGUGUAGGCGGCCUUAUAAGUCGGAUGUGAAAGCCCCGGGCUCAACUCGGGAAGUGCACUCGAUACUGUGAGGCUUGAGUAUCGGAGAGGUUGGUGGAAUUCUCGGUGUAGAGGUGAAAUUCGUAGAUAUCGAGAGGAACACCGGUGGCGAAAGCGGCCAACUGGACGAAUACUGACGCUGAGACACGAAAGCGUGGGGAGCAAACAGG